rnacentral:rRNA from 1 species
UACGUGGGGUGCGAGCGUUAAUCGGAAUUACUGGGCGUAAAGCGUGCGUAGGCGGUUCGUUAAGUGCGUCGUGAAAGCCCCGGGCUCAACCUGGGAAUGGCGAUGGAAACUGGCGGGCUGGAGUAUGGCAGGAGGGGGGUGGAAUUCCGCGUGUAGCAGUGAAAUGCGUAGAGAUGCGGAGGAACACCGAUGGCGAAGGCAGCCCCCUGGGCCAAUACUGACGCUCAGGCACGAAAGCGUGGGGAGCAAACAGG